GGUAGUAGCCAUAUCACCCUGCAACUCACAACUGGCAACCCACUGAAGCUAAGCAGGUGUGAGCCUGGUCAGUACCUGGAUGGGAGACCUCCUGGGAAAAACUAAGGUUGCUGCUGGAA
ensembl:rRNA 5S_rRNA 5S ribosomal RNA